AGACGAAGACUGAGCGGUUGUGUCUGCGUUGCCGACCUCGAGCAGCAGUCGGCUUCUGCAUGUAGAACCCGGGAGUAGGAGACUCAGAAUCGAAUCUCUUCUCCCUCCUCUCUCCUGUGAGAUUUUUUUGAUCUUCAGCUACAUUUUCGGCUUUGUGAGAAACCUUAUCAUCAAACACAAUGGCCAGCAACAUUACCAACAAGACAGAUCCUCGCUCCAUGAACUCCCGUGUGUUCAUUGGGAAUCUAAACACUCUCGUGGUCAAGAAAUCUGAUGUGGAGGCAAUCUUUUCGAAGUAUGGCAAAAUUGUGGGCUGCUCUGUUCAUAAGGGCUUUGCCUUCGUUCAAUAUGUUAAUGAGAGAAAUGCCCGGGCUGCUGUAGCUGGAGAGGUGGGGAGAAUGAUUGCUGGCCAGGUUUUAGAUCCUAACCUGGCUGCAGAGCCAAAAGUGAACUAAGGAAAAGCAGGUGUGAAACGGUCUGCAGCGGAGAUGUACGGCUCCUCUUUUGACUUGGACUAUGACUUUCAACGGGAUUGUUAUGAUAGGAUGUACAGUUACCCAGCAUGUGUACCUCCUCCUCCUGCUGCUCGGGCUGCAGUGCCCUCGAAACGUCAGCGUGUAUCAGGAAACACCUCACCAAGGGGCAAAAGUGGCUUCAAUUCUAAGAGUGGACAGUGGGGAUUUUCCAAGUCUGGAAAGUUGAAAGGAGAUGACCUUCAGGCCAUUAAGAAGGAACUGACCCAGAUAAAACAAAAAGUGGAUUCUCUCCUGGAAAACCUGGAAAAAACUGAAAAGGAACAGAGCAAACAAGCAGUAGAGAUGAAGAAUGAUAAGUCAGAAGAGGAGCAGAGCAGCAGCUCCGUGAAGAAAGAUGAGACUAAUGUGAAGGUGGAGUCUGAGGGGGCUGCAGAUGACUCUGCUGAGGAGGGGACCUACUGGAUGAUGAUGAUAAUGAAGAUCGGGGAUGACCAGCUGGAGCUGAUCAAGGAUGAUGAAAAAGAGGCUGAGGAGGGAGAGGAUGACUCUUAA